GCCUACGGGGGGCAGCAGUGGGGGAUAUUGCACAAUGGGGGAAACCCUGAUGCAGCGACGCCGCGUGGGCGAAGAAGUAUUUCGGUAUGUAAAGCCCUAUCAGCAGGGAAGAAGAAAUGACGGUACCUGAGUAAGAAGCACCGGCUAAAUACGUGCCAGCAGCCGCGGUAAUACGUAUGGUGCAAGCGUUAUCCGGAUUUACUGGGUGUAAAGGGCGUGUAGGCGGGAGAGCAAGUCAGACGUGAAAUUCCAGGGCUCAACCCUGGAACUGCGUUUGAAACUGUUCUUCUCGAGUGAUGGAGAGG
rnacentral:rRNA from 1 species